GAUGCACUCAAGGUUUUCAUAUUUGAUUUCAAGUUCAAUGGAAAACAGUUAUGUGUUGAUGCUACCAGAGAGGACGGCUCACUUGGCAGACUUGUAAAUGACGAUAAUGUGAAUCCAAACAGUAAAAUGACAGUUACCAGAGUGGAUGGAAGGCCCCAUCUGUUUGUUUGCAAUCAAAGAUAUUUGUCCAGGAGAAGAAAUCACCUAUAACUAUGGUGAUUCCAACUGGCCAUGGAGAAGCAAGAAAUCCAACAUGGUGCCAUCUCAGGCUGUGGAUGAGAAUGCAGCCAGUUCCUCUCCUAACGACGCAACAAAGGACUGCGAUCAUGAUCUAGUCCCUGACGAAAUGUCAAGUUUAGAAAAAUGUUUUGCAUGUGGAGGACCUUUUUCGCCUCUGAAAUGGAGUGGUGUGAGAUGUGAAG
ensembl:lncRNA